rnacentral:misc_RNA from 1 species
AGCUUUUAAGACUAGGUGAAGAGCCACCUAAUUCUAUUACUUUUUCUGUGUUUUUGAAUGCUUGCUCGGAUGGUUUGUAUUUGAAGCUUGGGCAGCAGUUGCAUGGUUAUGUUAUUCGACUUGGCUUUGGAUCAGAUGUCUCUGUUCUAAAUGGAAUGGUUGAUUUUUAUGGAAAAUGUCACCAGGUGAAGUAUUCAGAGCUAGUUUUCAAUGAGAUAAAU